UACGAAGGGGGCUAGCGUUGCUCGGAAUCACUGGGCGUAAAGCGCACGUAGGCGGAUUGUUAAGUCGGGGGUGAAAUCCUGGAGCUCAACUCCAGAACUGCCUUCGAUACUGGCGAUCUUGAGUCCGGGAGAGGUGAGUGGAACUCCGAGUGUAGAGGUGAAAUUCGUAGAUAUUCGGAAGAACACCAGUGGCGAAGGCGACUUACUGGACGAUUGUUGACGCUGAGGUGCGAAAGCGUGGGGAGCAAACAGG
rnacentral:rRNA from 1 species